rnacentral:rRNA from 1 species
AUUGAACGCUGGCGGCAUGCCUUACACAUGCAAGUCGAACGGCAGCGGGCCUUCGGGUGCCGGCGAGUGGCGAACGGGUGAGUAAUGCACCGGAACGUGCCAUUGAGUGGGGGGAUAACGUAGCGAAAGUUACGCUAAUACCGCAUAUUCUGUGAGCAGGAAAGCAGGGGACCGCAAGGCCUUGCGCUCUUUGAGCGGCCGAUGUCAGAUUAGCUAGUUGGUGAGGUAAAGGCUUACCAAGGCGACGAUCUGUAGCGGGUCUGAGAGGAUGAUCCGCCACACUGGGAACUGAGACACGGUCCAGACUCCUACGGGAGGCAGCAUGGGGAAUUUUGGACAAU